AAUCUUCUCUUUCUCUCUCUACGAAGCUUCCUCGAAGCUUACUAUGGAUUCCUACUCUUCCCUCCAUUUAACCUCCGCUUCUUCCUCUUUCUUUCCCCACACCAACUCUCUUUUCUAUCUGCAAAUUCUCAAUUAUGAAGCUCAUCAAAAACUUGCCCAAAAAGUUCUUCAACCACACCAACUUUCUUUUCUCUCUGCAAAUUCUCAAUUAUGAAGCUCAUCAAAAACUUGCCCAAAAAGUUCUUCAAGUCCAAAAAAACCCGCUCCAUUUCCCGAUCCAAUGAUCCGUCCUUCAGCUCUGGUACAACAUCGUCGGAAAAUUCCCUUCAUAAGCCG
rnacentral:lncRNA from 1 species